GACGAACGCUGGCGGCGUGCCUAACACAUGCAAGUCGAACGGAAGUUAGAGCUUCGGUUUUAACUUUAGUGGCGAACGGGUGAGUAACGCGUGAAGAACCUGCCUUUCAGUGGGGGACAACAGUUGGAAACGACUGCUAAUACCGCAUGAUACUUUCGAGGGGCAUCCCUUGAAAGUCAAAGCUUUAUGUGCUGAAAGAUGGCUUCGCGUCUGAUUAGCUAGUUGGUGGGGUAACGGCCCACCAAGGCGACGAUCAGUAGCCGGUCUGAGAGGUUGACCGGCCACAUUGGGACUGAGAUACGGCCCAG
rnacentral:rRNA from 1 species